CCUCUGGCCGCAGGCUCUGUGCUGCCUUCUCUCACCCUAUAUGGAGGGUUCUCAGAAGCAUGUUCCUGCCUGUUAUCAAGCUUGACUUUCUGCAUCCGUGUGGAUCGGUCCUGAAAUUAACCAAGAGGAAUAUUCUGAUUUUGGCAUUUUUAUCCUUUCUUCCACCACACCCUCAGACAGUCUUAAAUUUCACCAAGAAAGGAAUUUCUUUUAUGGCAACGAUUGGAGAUGGGCAUACUCACAUUGCAAGGAUGGUGUUGAAAUGCAACAAAACAUUUUUAAGAGAAGAAAUCUUUAUCAUCAGAUGCCCCAGAAGAAUUUGGCUCUGUGAAGACCAAUCACACGGUGAGAACUGGCUUUCAGUAGCCCUGCAUGAAAAAUGAUGUUAAAUAGGCUGUGGGCAGGGAUUGCCCUCUAACUGAAGAGUUGAGUGAUGGAAAUUCCCUUUAGUAGUCGGUGUGCCUAAUUUUCUAAAUUUACUUGGACAGUUUUCUUCAUAAGGCUCCCCCGCCACAGGUGUGUUUCCACCUAAUUGACUUCUCUUCACUUCCCUUCACCUUAUUUGCUUUUCAUCACGUUCUCUGACUCUCCUUUCACGUAACCCCUGUUCUAUCAUAGCCUCAAGGCUUUGCUGUGAAAACUUCUUUAUUUUUAAAUUUGUGAACAAUUCAUUUCUCUAGUUUGCCAGAAAAUUUUGCAUUGCUAUAAUGAAAGUAUUUAGCCAUAGUAAACGCACAUCUUACACCAUUCUCAAUACACACCUUUUAAAGUAGCAUGUUCGCAUGAGAGAAAUGACAGCUGAUUGGUUGAUAAUUAGUCAAAGGCAUAUUGCAGAAACGUGAUUAUUUGUGGCUUGUUAAAUUAUUGGUAUAAUUAGAAUGUCUUACAACUAGGAAUGUCUGUUUGACUUUAUGUAUGCCUGGG
rnacentral:lncRNA from 1 species